ACUCGAGUCACAUGACUUGGACUCGAGCCGUUAUUUUAAUGACUUCUGACUUGAUAAAAUCUAUAAAGACUUACAACUUGACUCGGACUUGAACGCCAGUGACUUGCGACUUGAUUCGACUUGCACGUGUUGACUUGAUGACUUGAGCAUAUUUGAUAUUUUAGCACCAAAGUGUCACGACAUGGACAAAAAUCAUGAAUCAUUCUUCAUCCUGGGUUUGAUCUUUAUAAACAGUUUCAGUUACACGUUCUGCUGUUUGAGCAAAUAAAAGACGCUUUAUUUCUGGAUUUUAUUUAUCAUCAUUGUCAUUAAUUUGAAGUUGGACAGAUGACUUGAAAAUUCAAAGUUAAGGACUUGGACUUGGUUGUCUUUGACUUGGACUUGACUCGAGACAUGACUGGAAAGACUUGUGACUUACUUGUGGGCAGAGAAUCAUAGGGCAGCAGUAGCUCAACAGGUUGAGCGGGUAGUCCAGUAAUCAAGGUUGCAGGUUCGAUUCCAGCUCCGGACAGAGAACUAUGCUGUUGUGUCCUUGGGCAAGACACUUAACCCACGUUGCCUGCUGGUGGUGGUCGGAGGGACUGGUGGUGCCAGUGCUCGGCAGCCUUGCCUCUGUCAGUGCGCCCCAGGGCAGCUGUGGCUACAUCGUAGCUCAUCACCAUCAGUGUGUGAAUGUGUGUGUGAAUGGGUGAAUGAUAGUGUAAAGCGCUUUGGAGUCCUUCCUCUGAGAGGCGCUAUACAAGUGCGGGUCAUUUAUCAUUUGUGACUUGCAAAGCAGCGACUUGGUCACACCUCUGGAACCUCCCCACCCCAGUUGCCUAGGAGAUACGUCAUCAGGAACCACCAUGGCGUGGUCCAGUGUUCAUGUUCUACUGAGGCAUGUGCUCUCCGUUUGUUAACCGUUUAUGGCGUUACUGCAUGUAUGGAUGACGUGAAGGGCUGGCUGGCAUCCAACUUCUUAAAACUGAAUGAAAAGAAGUCUGAGUUUAUUGUUUUUGACCCCCGCAACCACCAUGGCUCUCACCCUGUUUGUGACCUUUUAACCCUUAACCCCAAACAGUGUGCGACGAGUCUCGGGGUCAAGCUGGAUGCUGGACUCACAAUGGCCCCACAGAUAAACUCUGUAGUGAGGUCUUGUUUUUAUCAGCUUCGCCGCCUUACUCACCUCAGACGAAUCCUGAAACGGAGGCAUUUGGAGUCAGUCAUUCAUGCAUUCAUUACCUCUCGCCUGGACUAUGCAAACGCCCUCCUCGUUGGUGUUCCGGACUCUGCCCUGAAUCGGCUGCAGGUUGUUCAGAACGCUGCUGCCAGGUUCUUGACGGGUACACACCGACGUAGCCACAUUAUCCCUGUCCUGGCACGUCUUCACUGGCUCCCUGUCAUUUUCAGAGUCCAGUUUAAGUUACUGACUUUUGUUUUUAAAGCACUCAAAGACCUGGCACCUCCCUACCUCUCUGCCCUUCUCACUCCAUAUGUGCCCACCCGCUCGUUGAGGUCGGCUGACCUUUUGCUGCUGUACACGCCGCGGAUGAGACUCAAAUCGCGGGGGGAUUGAGCAUUUGUGCAUGCUGCCCCAAAGCUAUGGAACUCAUUGCCCAUUAGAGUUCGGCGGGCUCCGUCUCUGGCGGUUUUUAAAUCUCGUUUAAAGACCCACUUUUACACUUGGCUUUUAGACAGUGACUCGUUUUAGUGUUUUAUUGUGUCAUUGUUUUAAUGUGUUCUUAUUAUUCAUGUUUUAUCUGCUUUUAAUUGAGAUUUUUAUCCUUUGUUUUAGCUCCUUGUAAUGGGUGAGUUUUGUUUUAGCCUGUGCAGCACUUUGGGCAGCUCCCAUGCUGCAUUUUAAAUGUGCUAUAUAAAUAAACUAUGCUAUGCUAUGCUUACACGUUAGCGUCGGUUCGGUCCCUUACGGCCCCAGAAAUUGUUUUCACACAGGUCAGAUUUGUGUUUUUGGUUCUUUCCGACCUCCCCAGCGGUCAGACUGGGACCGAGGUGACACUAUGGACUGAUUGGCGAGCUGAAAUUACACCUACCCCCUCCGAUCUGCGAUGAGCAGCCGGGGAACAGAACAAUGCUUGUUGGCGUCAUUGUGCAUUAUGGACGAAUCCGGGCAGCACUAGUUUCCUCAUCUGUAUUUACUCGGCCAGUGCAGGAAGUGGGGUAGAAGACGAUCUUCAUGUUCAGCUUUCAUGCUAAACCCUGGGGCGCACUGACAGAGGCGUGGCCUAUCUCAAACAGGCGCCACCGGACCCUCUGACCACCAUCAGCAGGCAAGGGGGUUAAGUGUCUUGCCCAAGGACACAGCGACAGACUGAGCGGGGCUCGAACCUGCGACCUUCCGAUUACAUGGAGAGCAAUUAGCUCCUGUGCCACCGUCCGCAGACAUCCACGCUCGGGAACCAUUUGGUGGUUUACACACUAGCAUCGGCUCCGCCCCCGCCUGGCCGCACUCAUGCCACACUGGCUUAGGAAUGCGGACGGGAUUCAGAACAUGGGUGUUCAAUAAAAUUAGCGUGAAAAAUAGAUAUCAGUGAUGUCGUGUGCACGUGGGCGCGGCAAAAGAACGCAGAGAAGUCCGUGGUAUAAAACUAAAGCGGCCUGCUUUUGGAGACUCCGACACUAAUCCUGCGUUGCUGUGUGUGGCCACGGCACCUCGGGAAGAGGACCGGCAGAACGUCCGGUUGCAGGCGGGAAAGUCCCGAGAACACUCCCAACCCGGUGCAGGCGGAGUGGAGCCGAUGCUGGACCUCUGCUCUCCAGCAGGUGGCAGUGGGAGGAAGGAUGACCUCAAA